AAAUGAAUUGACGGGGGCCCGCACAAGCGGUGGAGCAUGUGGUUUAAUUCGAAGCAACGCGAAGAACCUUACCAGGCCUUGACAUCAUCUAGAAGGCUGUGGAAACACAGCUGUCCUUUGGACUGGAUGACAGGUGGUGCAUGGUCGUCGUCAGCUCGUGUCGUGAGAUGUUGGGUUAAGUCCCGCAACGAGCGCAACCCUUGCCUUUAGUUGCCAGCAUUAAGUUGGGGACUCUAAAGGGACUGCCGGUGACAAAUCGGAGGAAGGUGGGGAUGACGUCAGAUCAUCAUGCCCCUUAUGGUCUGGGCUACACACGUGCUACAAUGGGUGGUACAGAGGGCAGCGAAGCCGUGAGGCGGAGCGAAUCCCAGAAAGCCACUCUCAGUUCGGAUUGCAGGCUGCAACUCGCCUGCAUGAAGUCGGAAUCGCUAGUAAUCGCAGGUCAGCAUACUGCGGUGAAUACGUUCCCGGGCCUUGUACACACCGCCCGU
rnacentral:rRNA from 1 species